rnacentral:lncRNA from 1 species
GUUUUCUUUUUCAGUUUUAUUAAUUGUGAGCGUUCUUUUUCAGUGUUAUCAAUUGUGUGCUUUCUUUUUCAGAGCUAUUAAUUGUGUCCUUUCUUUUUUUGUUUUAUCAAUUGUGUGGUUUCUUUUUCAGUGUUAUCAAUUGUGUACUUUUCUUCAGCGUUAUCAACUGUGUGAUUUCUUUCUCAUUGCUAAUAAUUGUGAGCUUUGUUUCUUUUUAAAUCAUAUCAAUUGUGUGCUUUCUUUUUCAGUGUUAUUAAUUGUGUGCUUUCUUUUUCAGUGUUAUCAAUUGUGUGCUUUCUUUUUCAGUGUUAUCAAUUGUGUGGUUUCUUUUUCAGUGCUAUCAAUUGUGUGCUUUUUUCAGCGUUAUCAACUGUGUGAUUUCUUUUUCAUUGCUAAUAAUUGUGAGUUUUUUUCUCUUUCAAUCAUAUCAAUUGUCUGUUUUCUUUUUCAGUGUUAUUAAUUGUGUGCUUCCUUUUUCAGAUUUAUUAAUUGUGAGCUUUCUUUUUCAGUGUUAUCAAUUUUGUGCUUUCCUUUUCAGUGUUAUCAAUUGUGAGCUCUCUUUUUCAGUCUUACAAAUCGUUUCUUUUUCAGUGUUAUCAUUUGUGUGCUUUCUUUUUCAGUGAUAUUAAUUACAUCUAUACUACAUGUACUAGUUGUACAUCUAUCCUUCUCUGUCAUCUUUAAAUCGAAUAAUACAAAAUGCAGGAUAUUUCAACACGGGAACAAUUUUACAAAAAACUGUCGAGAAAUACCGGUAGAAAAUGCUCAUUACAUAAAUACUACCACAAAUAGUUUCAAUAACAAUGAAAAUAAAUACACCAGUAAUAUUUCAUAUUUGUGUCCUGUUUUUAGAUCAAGGUUUGGAAAUAACUUAUUUCAAUUUGCAUCCCAUUUUGGUGUUUCGAGAUCAAAGAAUAUGCGAUUAAUAGUAGGUGAAAAUACAGAAAUAAAUCGUGUAUUUAACAUUGACGGUUGAUGUACCGACCCAGACGUGAAAAUGUCAGACCAUUAAGCAGGAAAACAGUCGUCUGCUUACGACGAUAGUCUUUUAAGGUUUAACAAUUCUCAAAAUGUCAGACUAGUUAGUUGUCUACAGUCCUGGAAAUAUUUCUAUGAAUUUAGGAACGAACUAAGGAAACAAUUAACUUUUCGACGCCACAUUCAAAUCGAGGCUGAACGCAAUAUUAGGCAAAUUCUGCACAAGCUCAAUGGAGAAUCCAGAAAAAUGGUAACAUUAGUAGGCGUCCAUAUUCGACUAGGAGAUAUAUUCAUCAGUAGUCGUUUAAAACAAAAUGGUUUUGUUAUAGCAACACCAGAGUAUUUAUCCAAAUCUGUCAACUAUUUUCUGUCAAAAUAUAGAAAUGUUCUUUUUGUAGUAACUUCACAAAACAUGACUUGGGCUAAAGCUAACAUGCCCCUUCACGUGAAAAACAUGGUUCAAUAUAUUGAUA